rnacentral:rRNA from 1 species
AACGAACGCUGGCGGCAGGCUUAACACAUGCAAGUCGAGCGCCCCGCAAGGGGAGCGGCAGACGGGUGAGUAACGCGUGGGAAUCUACCCAUCUCUACGGAAUAACGCAUGGAAACGUGUGCUAAUACCGUAUACGUUCUUCGGGAGAAAGAUUUAUCGGAGAUGGAUGAGCCCGCGUUGGAUUAGCUAGUUGGUGGGGUAAAGGCCUACCAAGGCGACGAUCCAUAGCUGGUCUGAGAGGAUGAUCAGCCACACUGGGACUGAGACACGGCCCAGACUCCUACGGGAGGCAGCAGUGGGGAAUAUUGGACAAUGGGCGCAAGCCUGAUCCAGCCAUGCCGCGUGAGUGAUGAAGGCCCUAGGGUUGUAAAGCUCUUUCACCGGUGAGGAUAAUGACGGUAACCGGAGAAGAAGCCCCGGCUAACUUCGUGCCAGCCGCCGCAGUAACAC